UACCAGCUCUCCGAGUGGUGUGGAUAUUUAUUGGGCCUACAGCAUUCGUAGCCGGCUAAGUGAAUCCUCCGUUAAAUCCAACGAUUUAAUCGUUGGGCUGCGUGGGACACUGCUUGGCUAGGAGGCGGGAGAGGCCGACGGUAUUCUUGGGGUAGGGGUGAAAUCCUAUAAUCCCGAGAGGACCACCAGUGGCGAAGGCUGUCGGCUAGAACGCGCUCGACGGUGAGGGAUGAAAGCUGGGGUAGCGAACCGAAUUAGAUACCCGGGUAGUCCCAGCCGUAAACUAUGCAGGCUAGGUGUUAGAGCGGCUACGUGCCGCUUUAGUGCCGCAGGGAAGCCGUUAAAGCCUGCCGCCUGGGGAGUACGGCUGCAAGGCUAGAAACUUAAAGGAAUUGGCGGGGAGCACCACAAGGGUGAAGCUUGCGGUUU
rnacentral:rRNA from 1 species